GAUGAACGCUGGCGGCGUGCUUAACACAUGCAAGUCGAACGAAGCACUUUAACCUGAUUCUUCGGAUGAAGGUUUUUGUGACUGAGUGGCGGACGGGUGAGUAACGCGUGGGUAACCUGCCUCAUACAGGGGGAUAACAGUUAGAAAUGACUGCUAAUACCGCAUAAGACCACAGAGCCGCAUGGCUCGGUGGGAAAAACUCCGGUGGUAUGAGAUGGACCCGCGUCUGAUUAGGUAGUUGGUGGGGUAACGGCCUACCAAGCCAACGAUCAGUAGCCGACCUGAGAGGGUGACCGGCCACAUUGGGACUGAGACACGGCCCAAACUCCUACGGGAGGCAGCAGUGGGGAAUAUUGCACAAUGGGGGAAACCCUGAUGCAGCGACGCCGCGUGAGCGAAGAAGUAUUUCGGUAUGUAAAGCUCUAUCAGCAGGGAAGAAAAUGACGGUACCUGACUAAGAAGCACCGGCUAAAUACGUGCCAGCAGCCGCGGUAAUACGUAUGGUGCAAGCGUUAUCCGGAUUUACUGGGUGUAAAGGGAGCGUAGACGGCUGUGUAAGUCUGAAGUGAAAGCCCGGGGCUCAACCCCGGGACUGCUUUGGAAACUAUGCAGCUAGAGUGUCGGAGAGGUAAGUGGAAUUCCCAGUGUAGCGGUGAAAUGCGUAGAUAUUGGGAGGAACACCAGUGGCGAAGGCGGCUUACUGGACGAUGACUGACGUUGAGGCUCGAAAGCGUGGGGAGCAAACAGGAUUAGAUACCCUGGUAGUCCACGCCGUAAAC
rnacentral:rRNA from 1 species